rnacentral:rRNA from 1 species
GAUGAACGCUGGCGGCGUGCUUAACACAUGCAAGUCGAACGAGAAGUGGAGACGGAAACCUUCGGGCGGAAGACUUUAUUUCGAGUGGCGGACGGGUGAGUAACGCGUGGGUAACCUGCCUCAUACAGGGGGAUAACAGUUGGAAACGACUGUUAAUACCGCAUAAGACCACAGCACCGCAUGGUGCGGGGGUAAAAACUCCGGUGGUAUGAGAUGGACCCGCGUUCGAUUAGCCAGUUGGCGGGGUAGCGGCCCACCAAAGCGACGAUCGAUAGCCGAUCUGAGAGGAUGACCGGCCACAUUGGGACUGAGACACGGCCCAAACUCCUACGGGAGGCAGCAGUGGGGAAUAUUGCACAAUGGGGGAAACCCUGAUGCAGCGACGCCGCGUGAGUGAAGAAGUAUUUCGGUAUGUAAAGCUCUAUCAGCAGGGAAGAAAAUGACGGUACCUGAGUAAGAAGCCCCGGCUAACUACGUG